UAGGGAAUCUUCGGCAAUGGGGGGAACCCUGACCGAGCAACGCCGCGUGAGUGAAGAAGGUUUUCGGAUCGUAAAGCUCUGUUGUUAAGGAAGAACGAGUGUGAGAAUGGAAAGUUCAUACUGUGACGGUACCUAAUCAGAAAGCCACGGCUAACUACGUGCCAGCAGCCGCGGUAAUACGUAGGUGGCAAGCGUUAUCCGGAAUUAUUGGGCGUAAAGCGCGCGUAGGCGGUUUUUUAAGUCUGAUGUGAAAGCCCACGGCUCAACCGUGGAGGGUCAUUGGAAACUGGAAAACUUGAGUGCAGAAGAGGAAAGUGGAAUUCCAUGUGUAGCGGUGAAAUGCGCAGAGAUAUGGAGGAACACCAGUGGCGAAGGCGACUUUCUGGUCUGUAACUGACGCUGAUGUGCGAAAGCGUGGGGAUCAAACAGG
rnacentral:rRNA from 1 species